ACNCCGGUGGCGAAAGCGGCUCUCUGGUCUGUCACUGACGCUGAGGCUCGAAAGCGUGGGUAGCGAACAGGAUUAGAUACCCUGGUAGUNCACGCCGUAAACGCUGAGUGCUAGGUGUUAGGUCCUUUCCGGGACUUAGUGCCGACGCUAACGCAUUAAGCACUCCGCCUGGGGAGUACGACCGCAAGGUUGAAACUCAAAGGAAUUGACGGGGGCCCGCACAAGCGGUGGAGCAUGUGGUUUAAUUCGAAGCAACGCGAAGAACCUUACCAGGUCUUGACAUCCCGAUGCCCGCUCUAGAGAUAGAGUUUUACUUUUUGUACAUCGGAGACAGGUGGUGCAUGGUUGUCGUCAGCUCGUGUCGUGAGAUGUUGGGUUAAGUCCCGCAACGAGCGCAACCCUUAUUGUUAGUUGCCAUCAUUAAGUUGGGCACUCUAGCGAGACUGCCGGUAAUAAACCGGAGGAAGGUGGUGAUGACGUCAAAUCAUCAUGCCCCUUAUGACCUGGGCUACACACGUGCUACAAUGGUUGGUACAACGAGUUGCGAGUCGGUGACGGCGAGCUAAUCUCUUAAAGCCAAUCUCAGUUCGGAUUGUAGGCUGCAACUCGCCUACAUGAAGUCGGAAUCGCUAGUAAUCGCGGAUCGGCACGCCGCGGUGAAUACGUUCCCGGGCCUUGUACACACCGCCCGUCACACCACGGGAGUUUGUAACACCCAAAGU
rnacentral:rRNA from 1 species